rnacentral:rRNA from 1 species
UGGUUCGAAAUUGAAAGGCGGCUUCGGCUGUCACUUAUGGAUGGACCCGCGUCGCAUUAGCUAGUUGGUGAGGUAACGGCUCACCAAGGCAACGAUGCGUAGCCGACCUGAGAGGGUGAUCGGCCACACUGGGACUGAGACACGGCCCAGACUCCUACGGGAGGCAGCAGUAGGGAAUCUUCCGCAAUGGACGAAAGUCUGACGGAGCAACGCCGCGUGAGUGAUGAAGGCUUUCGGGUCGUAAAACUCUGUUGUUAGGGAAGAACAAGUGCUAGUUGAAUAAGCUGGCACCUUGACGGUACCUAACCAGAAAGCCACGGCUAACUACGUG